ensembl:lncRNA
GACCGCAGGAGUUGUGGGGCUUGAGCUCGGGCCGGGGACUGCAGGAGUUGCGGGGCUCCGGGCCGGGACUGCUGGUUUGUGGAGCUCGGGCCAGGGCUCCGGGCCGGGGACCGCAGGAGUUGCGGGGCUCCGGGCCGGGGACCGCAGGAGUUGCGGGGCUUGAGCUCGGGCCGGGGACCGCAGGAGUUGCGGGGCUCCGGGCCGGGACCGCAGGAGUUGCGGGACUCUGGGCCUGGGACCGCAGGAGUUGCGGGGCUUGAGCUCAGGCUGGGGACUGCAGGAGUUGCGGGGCCUCGGGCCCAGACCGCAGGAGUUGCGGGGCUAGGGCCAGGGCUCCGGGCCGGGGACUGCAGGAGUUGCGGAGCUCCGGGCCGGGGACCGCAGGAGUUGCGGGGCUCCGGGCCGGGGACCGCAGGAGUUGUGGGGCUUGAGCUCAGGCCGGGGACCGCAGGAGUUGUGGGGCUUGAGCUCAGGCCGGGGACCGCAGGAGUUGCGGGUCUCCGGGCUGGGGACCGCAGGAGUUGCGGGGCUCGGGCCAGGGCUCCAGGCCGGGACCGCAGGAGUUGCGGGGCUCGGGCCAGGGCUCCUGGCCGGGACCGCAGGAGUUGCGGGGCUUGAGCUCGGGCCGGGGACCGCAGGAGUUGCGGGGCUCCGGGCCGGGGACCGCAGGAGUUGCGGGGCUCCGGGCGGGCCGGGACUGCGGGAGUUGUGGGGCUCCAGCUGGGGUAGCAGCACCGCAGGUUUGCAGGCCUUUGGCCGGGAAAGUGGGACCGCAGGUGUGCGGGACUGCGGCCCUCCGACCGGGAGAGCGGGACGGCAGGGUUGUGGGCCUCUGGCCUUGAGAGCGGGGCUUUGGGGCUCCGGCCUGGGUGGCGGGCAGCGGGAGUUGCUGCACUCCAGCCGGGGUCCCUGGGAUCCGGCUGGGUUGGAGGGACUGCGGGGUUGCAGGGCUCCGCUCAGGGGAGCGGUGCUGCAGUGUUGCAGGGCUCCGGCUGGGAUAGAGGGGCCGCGGGACUUGCGGGGCUCCGGCCAGGAUAGAGGGGCCGUGGGUCCCUGGGCUCCGGCAGAGGGAGCAGGACGGUGGGGUUGCAGAGUUCCGGCCAGGGGAGUGGUACCGCGGGGUGACGGAGCUCUGGCCAAAAGAGCGGGGUGGCAGGGCUCUGGCCGGGGUAGAAGGACAGUGGGAGUUGCAGCACUCGGCCGGGGGAGCGCGGCCACGGGUUUGCGGGGCUCCGGCCUCGAGAGCUGGGCUGCGGUGAGGAGAGCGGGGCUGCCGGGCUCCGGCCUCAGUAGCUGGGCCACGGGACUUGCCACACUCUGCUGGGGAAGCGGGACUGUGGGGUUGCGGGGCUCCGGCUGGGGGAGCAGUGUUGCGGGGCUCCGGCUGGGGGAGCAGAGCCAUGGGAUUGCGGGGCUCCUGCCGGGAGAGCAGGGUUGCGGAGUCCCUGGGCUCCAGCCGGGGGAGAGGGGUGGCGGGGUUGCAGGGCUCCGGCCGGGAGAGCCGGGCCAAAAGGCAAAAGCUGAUAUUAACAUUGUUUCAGUCUCUGUGUUACUUGACAUCGUGUAUUCAGUGUCACCAUAGAAGAGAAGGGCUCUGCAUAGAUGGAAAUUUGCCUGGGCAUCGGUAGAAAAUGUUCAGUAAAUUUUUGCUUUAAAAAUUAAACCUGGCGCUUUGUCAUCUUGUGUCAUUUUUAUUUCUUGGCUGUCAGCUAUUUAAAUGAACUCUGAAACUUUCAUACUGACUUUCCUAUCUGACAUUGUAUCUCUCUAAUCUCCUUCAUAACCAUCACUGACUUUUUCCCAUUUUAAUACUAUCCCAUAGUAUCAGAGAGAGUGAUAAAAAUAGCAAAUAAAGGUACAUGACCAUCUGUCUAUCCCUACAGAGAAUGAUAGAUAUACGUGCAUCUGUCUCACAUAGAGAGAUGUGAUGUAUUCCCUGCAGUGCAGUUGACGCCAGUGGCUACAGUAUUAGGCCUAUUGAGCAGGUGAAAUUCCCUAGGAAGGUUUAAUUUGCUCUUCUCACCAGCUUUGCUCAGAUGUUGUCUGAACAUGGGGCCAUGCAGGUGUGAAGAAUCCCUUUAUAUAUUAAGGUCAAAUUCCACCUUGAAUUACCAUUCCCCUCCCCAGUGGCUCUAGAUUUUUUGCUGCCCCAAGCAAAAAAAAAAUUGGCUGCCCCCCACUCGGGUCCUGGGCCCUCCCCCACCCACACCCCUGGCUGCCCCAUCCCUGGGCUCCCUCCUUCACCACAGCAAUCCCUGUUUACAACUGCAGUGGGGAUCAAACCGGUUCUGCUAUUUUUAUUUCACAUUAGUAUAAAUCUCCCCCCGCCCCCAUCUCCCACAAUCCCAUCUUUAGUGCUCCAAAUGCACAUGGAAGGCAUAGGGACUAACCCUCAAACCUUGAACGGGAUGGGGAUCUAGUACAGGAUUCACGCAGAGGAGCGAGUGUGGGGGUGCUUGGGGGCUCUAUACUGGCAGAGAAGUGGGGUGUGAUGUGCUUGCAG